CAGAGUCACAGGCUGGAGUGAAUGGAAAGGGACCACUGCUGGCCUCUGCUCAAAUCCAGUCCAGCAGCAGCAGGAUGCUUAGGGCCUCAUUCAGCUGAGUUUUGAAUUAUCUCCAAGGAUGGAGAUCCCACAGCCUCUCUGUUCAAUUGGCUUCAUCACACUCAUGGUAGAUUUGACAUGUGAUGUUAACUGCUGAUCCCCCGAGGAAUGCUAAUCAAAGCCAAAUCCAGAAUAAAGGCUGGAAUUCUGUCACUCUGCUCAGCCUUCAAGGGCAGCUCUGGAUUUGGCUGCCUGCUUUGGUCACCUGAUGGCAGCAGUGUGGGAUCAUGAGAGUGAUGUCCAUGAAACAGGAACCCUUAAGGAGCUGUAGCAGAAACCAAGAAUGGACUACAGCUGGCCAUGCAGCAAGUGCUCCUCUGUCUCUGGCUCACUGGGCUGAGCAUUUCAAGGGAAGGAAAGGUGAGGCUGAAGAUCAUCUCUUUCCAAAGUUAUGACUCCUCACUGUCAUCAUAAAUUAGGAUGCCCUUGCAGUUCUGCAGAAUGGGGUGGAUGCCACUCCAUACCUCCCUGCUGGUCACCUUCAAACCUUCAAACCGAGGUGCCAGGCAGGCCGAGGGGGCACCCACCAGGUCAUGCAGGUGAACUCUUCAGAUGAAUGGUACAGCAGAAGCAGGCACUGGGAAUAAUGGGCUCUGACUCCAAGAUUUCAGAAGGCUGAAAAAUUGCUUUAUUAAGCUACGUUAUAUUACACUAAUACUGUACUAAAUUACAUACUUAAGAGAUAAUUACAUACUAAAGAGAUUCUAUACUAAAGAAAAACCCGUGACUGUCUGGGACAGCCAGGACACAGCUUUGAGUGACUGCCUAAUCACUCAAACCAACUUUCACCCGUGUCCAGUUAACAAACCACUUUGGGUAAACAAUCUCCAUAACCCAUUCCACAGGUGCCAAACAACAGGAGCAGUGAACAGAGAUAAGAAUUUUUUUUUCUCUUCUUCGCUCUGUGCUUCUCCAGGAAAAAUCCUGGGAGAGGGAGAAUGAUGUGUCUGUUUAGAGAAUGUGAAUGUGACACAGAAUGGAGUUUUCUCCCCAUUUUUCCCCAGAGUGGGACCAAACGCGCUGCUCUGCCUCUGAACCGCUGGUGUUUGGUCUAGAACUCCUGGAAGGAGCGAUCAGCAGGAGCAAAGAGUCCGCUGUGUGUGUCUGUGUGCUCGCAGCACCAUCUAGUGCCUCUCAGAGAUUGCUUUAUCUCCUUCCCCAAAUUCCCAGGGAUGGGAUACCGGGCACGCCGGUAGUCCCAGGCUUGUGGAGGGCUGGUUGUGAAGGCAAAGCCUGCCCAGCACACGUGUGACAGCCCGGAGGAGGGAAGCACAGGAUGAAAGGUGUGUCAGCAUCUCGGGUUUGGUGAGAUGCUGGUGUGCAUCUCCGAGUGACACUGCGAGCUGCCUCCAGCCCACCCGGGGCUGCACAUCCUGCCUUGGCUGAAUGUCUAUAAAAUUAAUGACAAAUACUUGGAAAGGAUUUGGUUUGGAGUAACUUCAGUGCUCUCCUCUUCCUUUUUCCAGGGAAGCUGCAGAGCCAAUGCCCUCUGCUGAUAGCAGAGGAUAAUUAUCUACCGUGAGUAGGAAAGAAAAUAUCCAGAUUUAAUUUAUCUAAUCGCUCUUCUUUGAUUUUAUCAGCAGCCCCAGGGGCUGGAGGACACACAAUGACAGAAUUGUCGAGGUUGGCAGGGACCUUUGGAGAUCGCUAUUCCAACCCCUGCCCAGGUAGGGUCACCUGGAGCAGGUGACACACGAGAGGGUUGGGGCUGUCCCCAGAGAGGGACCCCACGACCUCCCUGCUCUGCCACCCUCAUGUGAAGCAGCUGUUCCUCAUGUCGGGACGGAAAUUCUCGUGUUUUAGAAAUUCUCGUGCCUCAGUUUACGGCCAUCGCUCCUCGUCCUGGAGCACCACCGGAACGCUCGCCUGGAGGUGGCAUCAUGAGGCCGGCAUUUGUGUGCGGGAGAGCUGCUGAGCUCAGGUUCUCCCA